rnacentral:rRNA from 1 species
AGGACGAACGCUUGCGGCGUGCUUAACACAUGCAAGUCGAGCGGUAAGGCCCUUCGGGGUACACGAGCGGCGAACGGGUGAGUAACACGUGAGCAAUCUGCCCUUCACAUCGGGAUAACCCCCCGGAAACGGGAGCUAAUACCGGAUACGACCACUUCAGGCAUCUGAUGGUGGUGGAAAGUUCUGGCGGUGAAGGAUGAGCUCGCGGCCUAUCAGUCUUGUUGGUGAGGUAAUGGCCCACAAGGCUUCGAC